UUAAGAGUUUCAUUAUUUUUUGCUUACAACAAAAAAUCUUUUAACUCUUCUGUUUUUAUGGUGUAGUUUAUUAAAAAAUUUUUAAUUACAAUAUUUUUAUUUUUGUUUUCCAGUGAUGGUUUUAUACUAGUUAAGUAUUUACCUUUUGUACAAGGGCUGGUAGAGUUUUAUUAUUUUAUUAAACUUAGAAUAUUUAAGAUUUUACAAGGGUUUUUAAUUUUAAUAUUAUUUUAAAAUCUUUGUAAGGAGUUAUACGCUUUCGUUUUUUUGGGUAACUAGAAUUAUUGUGUAAAAAGGGAUAAGCCUUUUUUUGUUUUUAUUAUUUUUUAUAUAUACGUUUUCUUUAAUAGUAGGGGUAUGUGUAAUAACUUAUUAUGAUUUAAACAAACAUUAAAAAUUUUUAUUAAAACUAAAUUUUAAUUAUCAAAUUAGUAGAUUUAUAAACAUAAUUGUUUAGUUUUUUAUAUUAUUGUAAUAAAGAUAUUAUUUUAUGUUACUAAUUUUAUCUAAGACUGGUUAUUAAAACCAUAGCUAUAGUGUUUAUAGUUUUUUCUGCCCAAUGUAUUUUAUAAAUGGCUGUGGUUUUCACACUAAGGUAGCGAGAUCAUUAGUUAUUUAAUUGAUAACUUGCAUGAAUGAAAGAUCUUAGGUUAUAUUCUUUUUAAUCUUUAAUUUAUAUUGUUGUUGAAAAUAACAACUUUUCCCUUAAGACUAAAAGACCCCGGGAUUUUUAUACUAAGAUUAUAUCUAGUAUUUAGUUGGGGCAAUGGGAUUAUUUAAAUAAAAUUAAAUUUUUAUAUUAUUGAACUUUAAACUAAAGAUAAAUAGGAAAAUACCCCGGGGAUAACAGCUUAAUUAUUUUUAUUAGUUCUUAUAUAUGAAAUAGGUUGAGACCUCGAUGUUGGAUUAAAAUUAUUUUUAGGCGAAGAAGCUUAAUUAAUGAGACUGUUCGUCUCUUAAACUUUUACAUGAUCUGAGUUAAAGUCGGCGUGAGCCAGACUGGAUUUUAUCUAAGGGUAAAUGUAAAGUUAGUGUAGUACGAAAGGACCCACUAUAAUACAUAAUGUAAAAAUAUUUU
rnacentral:rRNA from 1 species